rnacentral:tRNA from 1 species
CAUCUGCUGGCCUGUUUCGCAGGCCACGCCAGUCCGCGUGGCGGGGACACCCUGGAUGCGGUGCUCGCCGCGGCGGAUGG